AUCGACGAUACUCCAUAGGAUCAUUUCUAUAGUAUACGUCCGGCUUGGGUUUCCUAACCUAGCCACAGAACUCAACACGGAUGAUGAUUGGAAGCACCGUUGCCCGAAGAGGUGAGACAAUUCUUUCUUCGGGAGGGACAACAGGAUCUCUUUUCAGGUUCUGUUCUCCCCCUUCAGCGAUGAUCUCUUACGCCUCGGGUUUCUCGUCCUCUGGACGGUCCCGUCGUGUAGGGCAGCUGGUGUAUUCUGACGUGU
rfam:Schizosaccharomyces japonicus yFS275 unplaced genomic scaffold supercont5.2, whole genome shotgun sequence.